GUGCUUGCUUUGCAGCACAUAUACUGAAAUUGGAACGGUUCAGAGAAGAUUAGCAUGGCUUCUGUGCAAGGAUGACACGCAAAUUCGUGAAGCAUUCCAUACUUUC
ensembl:snRNA U6 U6 spliceosomal RNA